rnacentral:rRNA from 1 species
GAUGAACGCUAGCUACAGGCUUAACACAUGCAAGUCGAGGGGAAACGGCAUCGAAAGCUUGCUUUUGAUGGGCGUCGACCGGCGCACGGGUGAGUAACGCGUAUCCAACCUGCCCAUCACUUGGGAAUAACCUUGCGAAAGUAAGACUAAUGCCCAAUGACAUCCCACGAAGGCAUCCGAAUGGGAUUAAAGAUUUAUCGGUGAUGGAUGGGGAUGCGUCUGAUUAGCUUGUUGGCGGGGUGACGGCCCACCAAGGCAACGAUCAGUAGGGGUUCUGAGAGGAAGGUCCCCCACAUUGGAACUGAGACACGGUCCAAACGCCUACGGGAGGCAGCAGUGAGGAAUAGUGGUCAAUGGGCGAGAGCCUGAACCAGCCAAGUAGCGUGCAGGAUGACGGCCCUAUGGGUUGUAAACUGCUUUUAUAAGGGAAUAAAGUGGGUCACGUGUGACUUUUUGCAUGUACCUUAUGAAUAAGGACCGGCUAAUUCCGUG